UACGGGGGGGGCAAGCGUUGUUCGGAAUUACUGGGCGUAAAGGGCGCGUAGGCGGUUCGCUAAGUUGAAUGUGAAAACUCUGGGCUUAACCCAGAGCCUGCAUUCAAUACUGGCGGGCUAGAGUUCUGGAGGGGAUAGCGGAAUUCCUGGUGUAGCGGUGAAAUGCGUAGAUAUCAGGAGGAACACCCGUGGCGAAGGCGGCUAUCUGGACCGUAACUGACGCUGAGGCGCGAAAGCGUGGGGAGCAAACAGG
rnacentral:rRNA from 1 species